CACAAAAGACUGGUCGACGACGAAGAAACAGAGCGAGUGAGCGAGCGUGGACGAAGCUGAUGCCGCCGAAGAGGAAGGCGAAGAUCUCGGCCCCGCUGCCAACCAUCUCACCGAGGAAGACCAGAAGCGCCACUGCUGUGAAGCGGGCUGAAACUCCGGCGGUGGCACCGGCGAGGGAGCGGGCGCCGUCCAAGAAGGCCAAGCUUUCGACGGCCGGAAACGCGGAGGACACGGAUGGUGCCAAGGAAAAGGCCGAUUUGGUAAAGGCGAAGGACGUUGUUUCCAGUGACGCAGAAGCGCUCGCUGCUCCGCCGCAUGCCGCGGCCGCUUCCGUGGGCGCCGCCAAGACCAUCAUCAUCGAGGCGUGCAAGCAAUGUACGUCUUUCAAGACGAGGGCCGUAAAGGUGAAGGAAGGCCUGGAAAGUGCUGUCCCUGGAAUUGUUGUAGCAGUUAAUCCUGAUAAGCCACGAAGGGGAUGCUUUGAGAUACGUGAAGAAAAUGGUCAAGUUUUUGUUUCGUUAUUGGGGUGAUUACACUACACACUGCAACUCGAGCAGAUGAAAAUAAACCUAUCAUAUCUUGGUUUGGUUGAGUGCUUUCACCUCUCUAAAACUAAAGAAUAUGCCACGGCCAUUCACCCCGAUGAAAAAGCUCGACAUGGAUGCAGUGGUUGAGGAUAUCAUUAAGAAGAUCACCUGAGUGGUGGAGGUGGUACGUUGGUAUGAUUAUUAAUUUCGAGACAGGUGUGUGUAACAUUGUGGAGUAGUUUCUUGCUUUCUGUGGACUUCAUAGAUUGGUGGCGGUCUGUGUUUUCUUUUCGCUCAGAUUUGCGGAAAUUAAGUAGGGCUUCGCGGAUGUUCUGCUGAUACGUAUGACUUAAAACAUAUCUGCUCGUCAGGAUCUUAUUGUGCUUACAUUUUCGGACGUCAGAAAGCAAUUAAUCUGAUCCACCAUCUUUUUUA